UACGUAGGGAGCAAGCGUUGUCCGGAUUUACUGGGUGUAAAGGGUGCGUAGGCGGCUUUGCAAGUCAGAUGUGAAAUCUAUGGGCUCAACCCAUAAACUGCAUUUGAAACUGUAGAGCUUGAGUGAAGUAGAGGCAGGCGGAAUUCCCCGUGUAGCGGUGAAAUGCGUAGAGAUGGGGAGGAACACCAGUGGCGAAGGCGGCCUGCUGGGCUUUAACUGACGCUGAGGCACGAAAGCGUGGGUAGCAAACAGG
rnacentral:rRNA from 5 species